AGUGAACGCUGGCGGUAGGCCUAACACAUGCAAGUCGAACGGCAGCACAGUAAGAGCUUGCUCUUACGGGUGGCGAGUGGCGGACGGGUGAGGAAUACAUCGGAAUCUACUUUUUCGUGGGGGAUAACGUAGGGAAACUUACGCUAAUACCGCAUACGACCUACGAGUGAAAGCAGGGGAUCUUCGGACCUUGCGCGAUUGAAUGAGCCGAUGUCGGAUUAGCUAGUUGGCGGGGUAAAGGCCCACCAAGGCGACGAUCCGUAGCUGGUCUGAGAGGAUGAUCAGCCACACUGGAACUGAGACACGGUCCAGACUCCUACGGGAGGCAGCAGUGGGGAAUAUUGGACAAGGGGCGCAAGCCUGAUCCAGCCAUACCGCGUGGGUGAAGAAGGCCUUCGGGUUGUAAAGCCCUUUUGUUGGGAAAGAAAAGCAGCAGGUUAAUACCCCGCUGUUCUGACGGUACCCAAAGAAUAAGCACCGGCUAACUUCGU
rnacentral:rRNA from 1 species